rnacentral:misc_RNA from 1 species
UCGCGGCUUAUCACCGGCAGUCCCCUUAGAGUGCCCAACUGAAUGAUGGCAACUAAGGGCGAGGGUUGCGCUCGUUGCGGGACUUAACCCAACAUCUCACGACACGAGCUGACGACAGCCAUGCAGCACCUGUGCAGGAUCUCCGAAGAGGGGCUCUCGUUUCUGAGAGCUUGCUCCUGCAUGUCAAGCCUAGGUAAGGUUCUUCGCGUCGCGUCGAAUUAAACCACAUGCUCCACCGCUUGUGCGGGCCCCCGUCAAUUCCUUUGAGUUUCAACCUUGCGGUCGUACUCCCCAGGUGGAUUACUUCACGCGUUAGCUGCGGUACUAGGGAAUCGCUUCCCCAACACCUAGUGAUCAUCGUUUAGGGCGUGGACUAC